AGAGUUUGAUCAUGGCUCAGAACGAACGUUGGCGGCGUGGAUUAGGCAUGCAAGUCGAACGAAUCCCAGGGGGCAACUCCUGGGGGAAGUGGCGAAAGGGGCAGUAAGGCAUGGGUAACUUGCCCCGGAGACCGGGAUAGCCAUCCCAACGGAUGGGUAAUACCGGGCACCGUAGCGGAAGGGCAUCCCUCUGCUACGAA
rnacentral:rRNA from 1 species